GACUUCUCUCAUGACAUCUGUUAAUUUAAAACUGUGUAGCAGCGUCUCACUCUCUAUUGCUUCUGCUUUCGCCAUGUGACAUGCCUGCUCCCCUUCACCUUCUGCCAUGAUUUAAGCUUCUGGAGGCCUCCCCAGAAGGAGAUGCCACUAUGCUUCCUGUAUAACCUGCAGAACGGUAUUCUAUAGAUUACUUUGAAAUGAAAAUGUUACCUGGGUGUGUGAGCUGAGAGUUUGGACUUUUCAUCUGACAAUGAAUGAUACCGUAUUUGACCUUGAAGAGGGUACUGGACCUUACCAUUGUCUAUAUGUAGAAGCAG
rnacentral:lncRNA from 1 species